GUAGGCAACCUGCCUCUCAGACUGGGAUAACAUAGGGAAACUUAUGCUAAUACCGGAUAGGUUUUUGGAUCGCAUGAUCUGAAAAGAAAAGAUGGCUUUUCGCUAUCACUGGGAGAUGGGCCUGCGGCGCAUUAGCUAGUUGGUGGGGUAACGGCCUACCAAGGCGACGAUGCGUAGCCGACCUGAGAGGGUGACCGGCCACACUGGGACUGAGACACGGCCCAGACUCCUACGGGAGGCAGCAGUAGGGAAUUUUCCACAAUGGACGAAAG
rnacentral:rRNA from 1 species